rnacentral:lncRNA from 10 species
GUGAGCCCUUAAAAGGGACAGAAAUUUUGCACUCGGGGAGCUCAGAUUUUAAGACAGUAGCUUGCUGAUGCUCCCAGCUGAAUAAAGCCCUUCCUUCUACAACUCGGUGUCUGAGGGGUUUUGUCUGCAGCUCGUCCUGCUACAAUGGUGGUUCCUUUAUAGGAUAUUCAUGAUUCCCUACCUUGAAUCAAUGCCGCCAUCUUCCUUUUAACUCAGGGACUAUGAGAUACACAGGUCUUCAAUGCCAGUCACCUCAUGGACUCACCACCUAGUUUAUCAAGGAGAAGUUGAUGCUGGGAGCAACUACAAAAAUGAAGCUACUCUGAUUUAGGUGGCACAGAAAAGCAGGCGAGGGUUUCUCCCUCCUGUCUCAUUUGAUCAUUUUUCAUGCUUUACCUGUGCUUCUAGGGGCCAAUCUAUCUUUUUUUUUUUUUUUCUGCCUUCUCUGCUUUAAAUGUUCCCAGUUCUGUCUGGAACUUGUCUUUGAACAAAGAAAGAUUUACUUCUUUCUUGAUUCUUUUAUUCCCCUCAUUUUUGUUUAUUCUCUUCCUGGCUCUUAGAGCUUUUCUCUUAACAUUGUGACUGGUGUAUCUAUUUUCUUCAUCUCUCACCUCCUGCCCAUGAACUUAUUUAUGAGGAAAUGUGUAGGAUAAUAGAGCAACAAUUUGGCUUAAAGGGCUCUAGCUGUGUGACCCUAGGCACAUCAGUCAACUCCUUAUAAACAACAGGUUUCUUUUCUCUAAAAUGAGGAUGUUAGAUUCUAUUAUCUCAGUAGUUCAUCUCAGCACUAAUUUUCUAUGAUUCCUUUUCUCACAGUGCUGUCUACCUUGCAAGCCCAGUACAUGUAUAUUAGUUCCCUAUUGCUGCUGUAACAAAUUGCCACCAGCUUAAUGGUUUAAAGCAAGGCAAAUUUGUUAUUUUAUAUUUCUGUAGAUCAGACAUCUGGCACGGUGCCCUUGUGCUAAAAUUAGAGUGCUGACAAGCCUAUGGUUCUUUCUGGAGCCUUCAGGGAAGAAUUGGUUACCUUGCGUUUUCCAGCUUUUGAGAGCACCUGCAUCCCUUGGGUCAUGCCCUUUUCCUCCAUUUUCAAAGUCCAAAACAGGAUGUCAAGUCCUUCUUUCUUUGCAUCUCUUUGAACAACUGUAGCCAAAAAGAUUCUCCAUUCUAAGGACUCCUGUGAUUUGAUUGGGAGCCUCUACAUCAUUCAGGAGAAUCCUCUGACCUCAAGUUCUGUAACCUGAAUCACAUCAUAAGGGUAGCCCGAAUGCCAUGUCUUCACAUUUUAUUCCACUUGGAUCUCCUGUAGAAUGGCUGUUUACCAUGGAAGGGCUGAUUCCAAUUCUCACGUUAAUCACUUACAAGGCAGAAACCAGCUAGUCUAGACUGGUAAAGGGCUUUCCAGUUCAUUCAUCAGCCUCCUCUGAUUCUCUCAGGGCUCAUUCAGAUGUUCCCAAUCCUUUCACAAGAUUACAAUUCAACACAUAUGGAAGCACAAAAAAAAAUGCUGAUUUCCCCACAUAAAUAAUAAUUAAUUACUAAUGAAGAUAAUGGUGACAGACUAUGGGACUUAAGAAAAAACCUACGAGGAUGUAUCACAAGACAAAUCCUUCUAAAAAUUAAACUAUUUGCAGACAAUCAGAAAGUCAAAACUAACAAUCUCUUAAACAUUUCUCAGAUAUGGCUGUAAUAACAUAGCAUUCCUAUAAAAAUGAACUUUUAGGUUAAAUAUAUCUUUACACAUACAUGCACUUGCACCCACAUGUACACACAAUCUAUUUUUGGAUCUACUGAAUAAAGCAUCAUUAUUUAAAGUGAAGCAAUAAAAGUUUCAACGUCUUUUUUUCUAAGUAUUAGCCUUGAAGUUAUUCACCCUAACCAAA